AGCUAACCCAUCAGCAAGAUGAUU
rnacentral:siRNA from 1 species